GAUGAACGCUAGCGACAGGCUUAACACAUGCAAGUCGAGGGGCAACGGGACGUAGCAAUACGUUGCCGGCGACCGGCGGAUGGGUGAGUAACGCGUAUGCAACCUACCCACGACAGGGGGAUAGCCCGUUGAAAGACGGAUUAAUACCCCAUAAAACAGGGGUUCCGCAUGGGACUAUUUGUUAAAGGGUUCUCCGCGAGGGGGACCUCGGUUGUGGAUGGGCAUGCGUUCCAUUAGGCAGUUGGUGAGGUAACGGCUCACCAAACCGACGAUGGAUAGGGGAACCGAGAGGUUGGUCCCCCACACUGGUACUGAGAUACGGACCAGACUCCUACGGGAGGCAGCAGUGAGGAAUUUUGGCAAUGGACGGAAGUCUGAACCAGCCAAGUCGCGUGAAGGAAGGCGGCCCUAAGGGUUGUAAACUUCUUUUGUAAGGGAAUAAAGUGCGUUACGUGUAGUGCAUUGCAAGUACCUUACGAAUAAGGAUCGGCUAACUCCGUG
rnacentral:rRNA from 1 species